UACAGAGGUGCCAAGCGUUAGGCGGAAUCACUGGGCUUAAAGCGCGUGUAGGUGGGUCGUUAAGUGUCCGCGUGAAAUCCCACGGCUCAACCGUGGAACUGCCGGGCAUACUGGCGAUCUUGAGGCAUUCAGGGGCGAGCGGAACAAAUGGUGGAGCGGUGAAAUGCGUAGAUAUCAUUUGGAACGCCAAUGGUGAAAACAGCUCGCUGUGAAUGAUCUGACACUGAGACGCGAAAGCCAGGGGAGCGAACGGG
rnacentral:rRNA from 1 species